rnacentral:rRNA from 1 species
AACGGCCAUACCAUGCUGAAUAUACCGGUUCUCGUUAGAUCACCGAAGUUAAGCAUCAUUGGGCGUGGUCAGUACUUGGGUGGGUGACCACCUGGGAACUCCACGUGCCGUU